GACAGAGGGUGCAAACGUUGCUCGGAAUUACUGGGCGUAAAGCGCGUGUAGGCGGGCCCACAAGUCGGACGUGAAAUCCCUGAGCUCAACUCAGGAACUGCAUCCGAAACUGUGGGCCUGGAGUGGUGGAGAGGGAAGCAGAAUUCCUGGUGUAGAGGUGAAAUUCGUAGAUAUCAGGAGGAACACCGGUGGCGAAGGCGGCUUCCUGGACACUUACUGACGCUGAGACGCGAAAGCGUGGGGAGCAAACAGG
rnacentral:rRNA from 1 species